UAGGCGUAAAUGAUGCGAGUUAAGUGUGGGGGCAUCUACGAGAUGGCCCUGUGCUGUAGGGUAGCCGUUAAACUCGCUGCCUGGGGAGUACGGUCGCAAGGCUGAAACUUAAAGGAUUGGCGGGGGGAGCACCACAACGGGUGGAGCUUGCGGUUUAAUUGGAUUCAACGCCGGAAAUCUUACCGGGACCGACAGCAACAUGAAGGCCAAGCUGAAGACUUUGCUUGACAAGCUGAGAGGAGGUGCAUGGCGUAGUCGUGU
rnacentral:rRNA from 1 species